GACGAACGCUGGCGGCGUGCUUAACACAUGCAAGUCGAACGGAAAGGCCCUGCUUUUGUGGGGUGCUCGAGUGGCGAACGGGUGAGUAACACGUGAGUAACCUGCCCUUGACUUUGGGAUAACUUCAGGAAACUGGGGCUAAUACCGGAUAGGAGCUCCUGCUGCAUGGUGGGGGUUGGAAAGUUUCGGCGGUUGGGGAUGGACUCGCGGCUUAUCAGCUUGUUGGUGGGGUAGUGGCUUACCAAGGCUUUGACGGGUGGCCGGCCUGAGCGGGUGACCGGCCACAUUGGGACUGAGAUACGGCCCAGACUCCUACGGGAGGCAGCAGUGGGGAAUAUUGCACAAUGGGCGGAAGCCUGAUGCAGCAACGCCGCGUGCGGGAUGACGGCCUUCGGGUUGUAAACCGCUUUCGCCUGUGACGAAGCGUGAGUGACGGUAAUGGGUAAAGAAGCACCGGCUAACUACGUG
rnacentral:rRNA from 1 species